UACGGAGGGUGCAAGCGUUGUCCGGAUUUAUUGGGUUUAAAGGGUGCGUAGGCGGCCCCUUAAGUCAGUGGUGAAAGCCCGCGGCUCAACCGCGGAACUGCCAUUGAUACUGGGGGGCUUGAGUACAGACGAGGUGGGCGGAAUUGAAGAUGUAGCGGUGAAAUGCUUAGAUAUCUUCAAGAACACCGAUUGCGUAGGCAGCUUACUAGGCUGUAACUGACGCUGAGGCACGAAAGCGUGGGGAGCGAACAGG
rnacentral:rRNA from 1 species